AGUUAGAAGGGCCAUCAUUAAAAAGUCAGGAAAACAACAGGUGCUGGAGAGGAUGUGGAGAAAUAGGAACACAUGUUGGUGGGACUGUAAAUUAGUUCAACCAUUGUGGAAGACAGUGUGGCGACUCCUCAGGGACCUAGAACUAGAAAUACCAUUUGACCCAGCCAUCCCACUACUGGGUAUAUUCCCAAAGGAUUGUAAGUCAUGCUGCUAUAAAGACACACGCACACAUGUUUAUUGUGGCACUAUUCACAAUAGCAAAGACUUGGAACCAACCCAAAUGUCCAACAAUAGACUGAAUUAAGAAAAUGUGGCAUAUAUACACCAUAGAAUACCAUGCAGCCAUAAAAAAUGAUGAGUUCAUGUCUUUGUAGGGACAUGGAUGAAGCUGGAAACUAUCAUUCUCAGCAAACUAUCGCAAGGACAAAAAACCAAACACCGCAUGUUCUCACUCAUAGGUGGGAAUUGAACAAUGAGAACACGCGGACACAGGAAGGGGAACAUCACACACCGGGGCCUGUUGUGGGGUAGGGGGAGCGGGGAGGGAUAGCAUUAGGAGAUAUAACUAAUGUAAAUGACGAGUUAAUGGGUGCAGCACACCAACAUGGCACAUGUAUACAUAUGUAACAAACCUGCACGUUGUGCAUAUGUACCCUAGAACUUAAAGUAUAAUAAAAAAUAUAUAUUAAAAAAAACCCAAAAACUUGAUAUGUAUCCAAAUUUAGCAUGCACCAUUUUCCUUAAACUUUACUAUGAGAUCCUGAAAAAAAAAAAAAAAAAGACCCUUGGGAUUACAUUGGAUCUACCCAAAUAAUCCAGGAUAAUCUCACUUUAAGAGCCUUAAUCACAUGUGCAAAGUUCUUUUGCCAUGGAAAGUAACACAUUAACAGGUUCCAGGGAUUAAGAUCUGGACAUCUUUAGGGGCCAUUUUGCAGCCUUCCACAACUAUCUACAUGUAAAUGAAUAUGAAAGGUAAUUAAUAUAAAAACUGUGAAGUAAGCACAGCCUACCUUUGUAAAUAAAAGGCACAAUUUCAAUGGUUGGAUGAAAGCUCCCAAGGAAAAAUAAGCUGGUCUGGCUUCAGCUUCCCUGACAGUCACAAAGCCUAUUCUGGGGAAGUGAGGGAACAAAGCUUUAAGUGAUUUCUUGGAAACAAAGGGCUUAAUAUUGUUGGGGUUUCUGGCCAGGCUGGAACAUGCAUUUGGCAGGCAUAAAUUCAGGGAUGAACUCCUAUGAAUUUUCUACUUGCAAGCUCUCCAAGAGUAGGUACAUAGUAGAACAUUUCCAGCAGGUCAAAGAAGGAACAGGAACUUCAUUAGAACACAGAACACAGUCUUGGGGACUCGGGAGAAAGGGUGGGAGUGGGGCAAUGGAUAAAAGACUACAAAUGGGGUGCAGCAUAUACUGCUUGGGUGAUGGAUGCACCAAAAUCUUACAAAUCACCACUAAAUAACUUACUCAUGUAACCAACCACCACUUGCAUCCCAAUAACCUGCGUGUGGUGGGGAAGAACACGGUCAGAUUGUGGGCCAGUUUUCCCCUGGGCUGUUUCUCAGUGUAAAAUGAUGGUACAACGAUAGCAGCCAUCUUUGUGAUGACAGCUCUCAUGAGCCACAGUGUUCCAAUCUGAACCCGUUGCCUUCUACGGAGUGUACAUAUAUAAUCCUGACAGACAGCCCUUCACCAAGCUCUUUGGAAGAGUCCCGUCACUGCUUCCCUGUGUUUGGCUGGAAGAGCACACAUCCUUCAGCAGCCCCUUGAGAAAUGAUAUUCAGGAAGUAAAUGCUUUUGAGAUCUCAUAUAUCUCCAAGUGUCUUUAUUCUACCAUAACCCUUGGCUUAUAAUUUGGCUAUGUAAAGAGUUCUAGGUUGGAAAUAAUUUUUUGUAAGAAUUCCAAAGGCACUUCUACAUUAUCUUCUUUCUAGCUUCCAAAGAUGUUGUUGAGAAGCGUGAAGACAUUUUGAUUCUUGAUCCUUUAUAUGUAACAAUCCGCCCCUCCGUCCCCCCUACACGCCUGCAGAAUCUUCGUGUGCUUGGGUGUUCUCAUAUCUCACAAGUAACAUGCUCCGGAGUUGGUCUAUUUUCAUCCAUUGUGCAGUGACCUUUUGACUCUGGAAAUUCUAUCAAUCAAUCAGUUCUGGAAAAUUCUGAAUUAUUUUGAUGACUUCUUCCCUCCUGUUUUCUCAGGUUAUUCGGCUACUGACUUUCCAGACCAGUCCUCCUAUUUUCUCUUCUCUGUUUUCCAUGUUUGUCUUUGUUGCCUCCACUUUCUUUGAGUGUGUCAACUUUAAUUCCUAACUUUCCCAUUGAAUUUUAAUUCCUGCUACCAUAUUUUUUAAUUUCGACAAGCUGUUUUGUUCUGUUUCUUAAUAACAUCUUAUAUAUUAUUAUGGCUGCAGUAUCUCCUCUGAGGAUUUUUUUUUUGAGACACGGUCCGGCUCUGUCACUCAGGCUGGAGUGCAGUGUCACAAUCAUAGUUCAUUAAAGGCUUGAAUUCCUGGACUCAAGCAAUCCUCCUCCCUCAGCCCCCCAAGUAGCUGAGACUAUAGGCGCACAACACCAUGUCUGGCUAAUUCUUUUAUUUUUUGUAAAGAUGGGGGUCUCACUACGUUGCCCAGGCUAGUCUCAAAUUUCUGGGCUCAAGUUAUCCUCCCACCUUGGCCUCCCAAAGUGCUGGGAUUUAGACGUGAGCCACCACACCUAGCAACACUACCUUUUGAUAUGUUGCAAAUAUUUUUUCUGAAUUGGGCAGGAAUCUUUUACACAAUUUAAUUCCUUACAAGUAGAGAAGUAAGAACAUUAACUCUGGAGCUGGACUAUUGGGUUCAAAACCUGACUGACAACUUUCUAUAAAAAAGCUGACACUUUCAGCUAUAAAACUCUGGCAAGUUAUGUUAUUUAACUGGUGUCUGUUACAUGUCCACAUAUGAGAAAAACAGUAACCGCCUCCUGAGGUUUUUGUGAGGACCAAAUAAUUU
rnacentral:lncRNA from 1 species